UAAUGUAUGGGGAUCUGCCCGAUAGAGGGGAAUAACUACUGGAAACGGUGGCUAAUACCGCAUAAUGUCUACGGACCAAAGCAGGGGCUCUUCGGACCUUGCACUAUCGGAUGAACCCAUAUGGGAUUAGCUAGUAGGUGGGGUAAAGGCUCACCUAGGCGACGAUCUCUAGCUGGUCUGAGAGGAUGAUCAGCCACACUGGGACUGAGACACGGCCAG
rnacentral:rRNA from 1 species